rnacentral:rRNA from 1 species
CCCUUAGAUGUUCUGGGCUGCACGCGCGCUACACUGAGUGGAUCAGCGGGUCAGGUUGCGCGAAAGUGUUUCCUAAUCUUGAAAUCCGCUCGUGAUGGGGAUUGACGGUUGCAAUUUUCCGUCAUGAACGAGGAAUACCUUGUAAGCGCGGGUCAUCAUCCCGCGCUGAAUACGUCCCUGCCCUUUGUACACACCGCCCGUCGCUCCUACCGAUUGAGUGGUCCGGUGAGGCUUUGGGAUCUGAGCGGAAAGAGCGUUUCGCUGUUUCUGCUCGGAAAACUCAGUCGAACCUUAUCAUUUAGAGGAAGGAGAAGUCGUAACA